CACUAUCCCCUACCUGUGCUCCAGAAAAUCUCCCCCAUUAGUCCCUCCUGUUGAGGCAUGGAAAGGUGGAGAGGUAUGGGAAUAGUGGCGUGGGAGUGAGGGGCAUCCCUAGAUCAUGAGGACAGGGAAGGCAUCUCUGAGGAGGUGGCAUUUCAGUGGGGGUCUUGCUAGAUACAAAGGAGCCAGCUCCACCAAGAGUUGAGUAGCAGAAUUCCUGGGAAGGGGACACAGCCAGUGCAAAGGCCCUGAGCAGGAUGGAAUUGGCUUGUUCUAUGAAGUGGCAGAAGGCUAGUGUGCCCAGGGUGCAGUGUGGCAAGAAGGACAAGAAGCAGAUGUGGGGAGAAGUGGGUGGGAUCUCUGCCAGGGUUUUCCAGUUUGGCUUUCUUUGAAGUGCAGUGGAAGCCACUGGUAAUUUUAAGCUGGGGAGACCCGGAACUUGAUUUGUUUUCAUGAGAUCACCUUGGUUGCCAUCUGGAUGAUAAACAUUUACUGAGUCCCAGUGAGUUUGUAGGCAUGCUCAUAAACCAUCUCAUUGAAUUAUCCCUGAAUUCUAGAUGAGAUUGAAGCAAACGUGUGUCUUUUUUUCUGGCUUCCCAGCAUCUGAUUCCCCUUCCAGUGGCUGGAGAACAUCCCACCUUCUGAGCCUUGGGGAGAAGCAGAGUGUGCCCUUUCCCUGCCCACUGGAGAAGCUGAAACAACAAAAACUCCCUUCCCUGGCCUCCCUGCAGGAGACUCCAGGAAGACUCCUGAAUGCCACACACUCCUAAACCUGAGAGACCUUCAUGCAGAUUGGGGAGCAGCUUUAGGACUGCUGGGUGGAGCCACAAUGAGACAGAUAAGCUCCAGGAAAAUAAGAAGUGCCGAAACAAUGGAGCCACCCAACAAAAAGGGCUGCCACUGCAAGUGGUGAGCUUCCUGUUACUGGAGGUGUGUAAGCCAAGGUUGGGGGCUCUUCUGAAGAUAAUUUAUGCCCAGGUAGAUGUUAUGUUUAAUGAUCUCCAAAGUCCCACCAUAGGGGAAUAUUCUUGAUUCCAGAAAUGGUGCAGCCACAUUGCUGGUGGAGAGCACUGUCGUGAAAGAAUAGAGAUCUGGGCCAGGAGCCAAGAGAUGUGGGUUCUAGUCCCACCCCUGUUAUUUGACUCCUGGGGGACUACAGUCAGAUCCUGUAUCUGCUCAGAGCCUCACUGGUUUUCUCUCAAUUUGUAAAGUGAGGGACCAGUUUCCACAUGUCAAUCCAUACAGCCACCCUUGUCAGAGAACAUUUCCCUUGUCCUUGAGAAGAUGAAAACCAUAAAGCAAUGUAGCAUUGUUUUCAUAAAGCUAAAGCUAUUCAAUUUAAAGGAUGAUCUUCAUUUUGAGAUAAUAUAUUUCCUACUAUUUUUGGUGUUCAAAUGUCCUUUUUCUUUUAUGCAAGGGUAAUAAUAGCAUGUGUAGAAGAUGAAAAUGGUGUUAUUGUUUUUCUGAGGGACCCUACUUGGCAAAAUAAAAGGUUGACAAACCUACAGUAGUUCCCUCCAGUUAUGAAAGUAAGAAAUAUAGGAAUCACUGGGCUUAAUGAUUCCAAAUAACCUUCAACAUUGUUUCUCUCUCUUUCCCUGAACUCAUCCCUCCAUUUCUAAAACACUGAUUGACACGUCAGACACGAGAGCCACUAAGAUGAGUGAGACACCUACAGUCCCUUCCUAUGUGAAGCUCAGAGUAUCCCAAGGAAGACCAACACAUAGGCACAUAAACGAAUGGAUAUUUAGGUUAGAUCACAUUUUUUAUCAUAAAAAUACGACAGUACACAUCCUUAGUUGUAUCUUUUGUUUGCUUCUCUGGUUAUUCCCUUAAGAUGAGUUCCCAAAAUGAAA
rnacentral:lncRNA from 10 species